rnacentral:rRNA from 1 species
CCUACGGGUGGCAGCAGUGGGGAAUAUUGCACAAUGGGGGAAACCCUGAUGCAGCGACGCCGCGUGAGUGAAGAAGUAUUUCGGUACGUAAAGCUCUAUCAGCAGGGAAGAAAAUGACGGUACCUGACUAAGAAGCCCCGGCUAACUACGUGCCAGCAGCCGCGGUAAUACGUAGGGGGCAAGCGUUAUCCGGAUUUACUGGGUGUAAAGGGAGCGUAGACGGCAGCGCAAGUCUGGAGUGAAAUCCCAUGGCUUAACCAUGGAACUGCUUUGGAAACUGUGCAGCUAGAGUGCAGGAGAGGUAAGCGGAAUGCCUAGUGUAGCGGUGAAAUGCGUAGAGAUUAGGAGGAACACCAGUGGCGAAGGCGGCUUACUGGACUGUAACUGACGUUGAGGCUCGAAAGCGUGGGGAGCAAACAGGAUUAGAUACCCCUGUAGUC